CCUGAUGACCAUAGCAAAUCGGUCCCACCCCUUCCCAUCCCGAACAGGACCGUGAAACGAUUUUGCGCCGAUGAUAGUGCUGCAACCAGCCACCCCUUCCCAUCCCGAACAGGACCGUGAAACGAUUUUGCGCCGAUGAUAGUGCUGCAACCAGUGUGAAAGUAGGUUAUCGUCAGGC
rnacentral:rRNA from 1 species